GCAGUCGCCAGCUUGGGAGAGCCCGGCAGCUGAGAGAUGUCGGCGCCGGUUUGCCUCGGGAGGGCUCGCCAGCGCCGGUUACCAGGGGAGAUACCGAUGCAGAACGCACUUCUGGUCGGACUGUCGCGCCAGGUCGCCCUCGC
rnacentral:ncRNA from 1 species